GCCUGGGUGGCUCAGUCAGUUAAGCAUCUGACUUCAGCUCAGGUCAUGAUCUCACGGUUCGUGAGUUCAAGCCCCGCAUCGGGCU
rnacentral:tRNA from 1 species